rnacentral:rRNA from 1 species
CGAGNGGAUGGGCAUGCGGCGCAUUAGCUAGACGGCGGGGUAACGGCCCACCGUGGCGACGAUGCGUAGGGGUUCUGAGAGGAAGGUCCCCCACACUGGUACUGAGACACGGACCAGACUUCUACGGAAGGCAGCAG